UCCCUAGUAGCUCAGAUGGUAAAGAGUCUGCCUGCAAUGCAGAAGACCCAGGUUUGAUCCCUGGGUCAGGAA
rnacentral:tRNA from 1 species